CUCUUCCAGCUGUUUUCCGUGCAGCCGAUUGGGGUUUUGGGCGCUCGGAGCAGCAUCUGAGAGGGCUCACUCUGAUCAUCAGCUGCACGUUAAGCCACAAACCGGCGUCGCUUCGGCGUUCCGGAACCCAGGCCUGGGGGCCGCGGGGAUUGCCUCUGCGUGCAACUCCGGAAAGUUUCAAGGGGUCCCCCGACUGCACAGGUCCGGAAAUCGGCUUUGAUAUGGAACUACUCCGCUCUAGCCUGGAAAGGAGACCCGCGCACUCCUCUCGCAGCUAAUUUCGGAUCAUUAAUUUAAUCGGAAAUGAGGUAACCAGUGUAGGAGACAGAGAAAGCAACCGGAGCAUCAAAUGGCAGUUCUCGAGAAUCGACGAGGAACUUAAAUCUGGACUCAGGGUUUCAGUGCGGUCUCCGACUCCCACCACCCCGCCCCUCCGCCUGUCUCGCCGCCAGGUGUGACCUCCACGCGAAGGAAUCUUCUUCGGAUGGGUGCACCUUGCCAACAGGUGUGGCACCUGGAGGACUAGGAGGCGCCUCCAGACUAAGGGCGCUCAGUGCGGCGUUCUUGUUGCAGAUGAUUCUGGAAGGCCGGUAGGUGUCGGGCGACAUUUGACCUUCUUCAGGUGCUUAGAACUAAGUGUCUGGAAACAUGAUCCUUUCGCCCUCUAGUGGACAGUUAACAUCAGUUUCCUGAAAAGGCUCUGACUGGUUUUGUUUUCGUUGACAAGCUUUGUCAAGGUGAAGGUUAGUACGUAAGAGCAUAACCGGGUAAAAUGUCCCCUCACCCCUAUCCUCACCCCCGCCCCCAACACCCUGCUUGGCAAAGACGACUUCAGAAAGGAGCAGAAGCUUGUUGGCUUUAUAUAGAAAAGACGUAUGCUUUGUGCUGCAGGUAUUAUUAUUACUGGACUGUGAAUAAACAGAAAGCUUCUGCUAUUCAUUUCAGUUUCAGACAGCUUUCAUAAAAACUAAAUUCAUCUCAAAUAUUUUUAUAACAGAAAAUAUUGGUUGCCAUGUUUUUGGCUUAACUGCGAUGUUUUUAUUCCAACUCAUAAUCUGCAAACUGUCCAAUCCACCUCCACUCUAUUUUUAGACAUCUUACAUUUAGAUAAUUUUCAGUUAAAAAAAAGCUAAUAUUGUAAUUUUACGUUGGCACAAGCAGUUAAUUUACGUGAUUUUAACAACCUUAAAUUAAAACACAUAAUUCAGAUUACAGUUAGUCAAUUAAUUUAAAUGUUCUCUCAAGGAAGCUAAAUAUGUAUAUUACCCAAAUGGUAAAAACAAUUAAUAAGAAAUGUGUCAUUUACUUUCUUAGCCAUUAAGUUUAAAGCCAUAAACUGCCACCAAAAUCUGUAACUAUUUCUUCCUGCAAGAUCCAACAUAAACACCAUACUCAUGAAACUGUCUCAUUACCUUUAGUACUGAAAUAUUUUGUUUUCAGAUGGCAAAAUAUUAAGUGUACAAUCACAAAUAACAGGCACUGAUUCUUUAGAAACAAGACUUUCUCGUGCAAAUAAAAACUCAAUGAAAAAGGGCAGAGCUUCCAAGAAGCUAGUAGACAAAUAUAUAGUACUAUAGUCCUACUCAUAAGGCUGGUGUUAUGUUUGUAAAAGCAUAAGUCAACCUUUGAAAUUACAGGAAAUCGAUAAAUAAGGCCUGAUGAGCUUGACUCGUAUCCUGUGUCAUAGAUUGCUUAAAUACCAUGAAAAAUAAUUGUAAUCACAUAUCUAUUUUACUGUUUUGGUGGUAUCUACUCUUGAAGGUGUUAAAUGGGCCAGCAAGUAUAUAUUAUAUAAUUACAUAUUACACCCUUACUUAAAGUGUAGUUUUCAAAGUCGCCACAGCAGCACUUGGGAGCUUUUUAGACAUUCAGAGUCAAGGGUUCUACCCCAGACAUACCAAAUCAGAAUCUGCCUUUGAACCAGGCCCCUGGGUGAUUUCUAAACACAUUAUCAUGUGAAGAACACUGGUCUAUACCACAGGGAUCAACCUAAAUAAAUUUGGGCACAAGUGCAGAAGUUAAUUCCUCUAUUUAUUUCUUUUUUGCUCCUUUUUAGUAAGUACAGCCCUUAUUAAUUUGUGCUUUUCAAUGAAAAAUUAUUAUGUUAUAUGCUUUGGAUAAAUACUACUGCACUGUAAGUGCACACAUCUGCAUCAUUAUUGCCAAAAAAGAAUGCUCUGCUGAGGAAUGUACUGGGGUCUUGAACAUGAACAUUUUCUUCAUGGCAGCAGAGGGAGCACAAGAGUGCUUAAUAAAACCAGUGCACAGGUCUCUCCAAAUCAUGACAGAUUUUACAUUGUAGUAUAUGUUUUCAUUGGAAGUAGCCUGUUAUGUAGUUCAAAAUGAAGCAAAUCAACUGAGCAAACACAGAUAGGCUUACCAGGUCAUAACAACUAUGUAACUGAACAGAUUGAAAGUUGAAUAAAAUAAAGAUAAACUUCUUUAGAGUUUUAGGCUUGAAUUCUUAAAAGAAAGUGGACCUCAAAAGUGAAAAAGAUGCCUUAGCUUUGCUCAAAAACAAAGAUAACACAACACAGAAUCAGGCAACCCUAAGAUGCCUUAGCUUUACUCAAAAACAAAGAUAACACAGAAUCAGGCAACCCUAAUAGUAGCUCCUGUUUAUCUAAAAACAGAGUCAGUUCACUGGACCCUACAUCAGGUAACUUAAUUUCAUUUGGUGUCAUACAUGUUGGUUAAGGUCCAUGCGCCUUUUGCUGUGUUUACACUCAGAAUAAUUUUAGGGGUUUCUCCUUAAUGCUUGCAGUGGUGAGGAUUUAGGUUUCAGUUAUACCUACGUAGUAUUUCAUACUUUUCACUACUCUUCCAUAUUGCAUCCUCAAAAACUCCCUUGAAGCAGAUAACAUACUUGGUAAAAGCCAAGUAUCCAAAAAGUUAUGGAACCACAUCGUGCUUUCAUAACAUUGAGUCAUUUAAUUGUUUCAGUAGUGCUUUGAGGUAUUCAUAAAUGAGGGAAAUUAUACAGACUAAAGAUCCAGAGCAUUUUUUACAGUUUUAAAGGUUUUUCAAAGUUAUUCUUAGAUAAUAUGUUUAUAUAUUUAUUAUUUAUUUACAAGCAGUCACUUACUCUGCAUCUACAAUAACUAAGACUUGAGAAUAUAAAAUUGAGUAAGACAUCUUAGUGUGCAAGGAGAUCAGAGCAGAACAGAUCUUACCUUUGGAAAACUGUUAAUUUUUACCACGUUGAAACACAAAGAUUCAUAGUUGAUGCGAUCCAGCACCUGCCAGAAUCAUAGCAAUCAGACUUCCAAAUAUGAGAAUCAAACAUUAGAAUCAUUAAAAAUUUGAGAGGCGGGGGGGACAGUUGUACAACUCUUGAGCAAAAGUUGACUUAUAAGCUAAUAUUAAUAUUUCAAAUUUGUACGACAAACAAAUGUGAAGAUAUAAUGUGUAUUUUAUUUGAAUGUCUUCCCUAUCACAAAAUCACAUGAGUAAGUUGAGUUGGUAAACAUUUAUUUAUUUUUAUCUUUUCUAAAAUGCUGAAAAGAAUUUUUCUCCCACACUAAAGAGGGUUUGCCAAGUUUCUGCCUGGAGCAAUUUGUUAUGGCUGUGUAAUAAAUCCCAGAAAGUUUGAAUUUUUAAUGGAAACACUGACAGAAUAAAGAGGGUGUAAUCCUACAUAUGUCAUUUAAAAAUCUGAGCAAACCAUAGUGUGCUUGCAAAACAAAUAUACUUUCCUUAGAUUGCACUCACAAAUAAGGCUGGGGAGACCACAAAAGUAAAACAAACUCAAAAGUGAAAAACACUCACACAAUAGACUCUGAGGUCAGCUCACCACACCCAGACUAAAGUCACUGGGCUCUGUGCGUGUCACCAAGACUCUUAAAAGACAUACUUCUGAAUCAUCUUUCUUGACCCUCCACCAAACUGUAGCAAGACAGGCUUCCUGGGAAUGAAAAUGACAUUAGCAUUAGUCAAGAGUGAAAUUAAAGUCAUUGUACUCAAACAUCUGCCAACAGUCUGUGAUUUCAUAGUACCCACCUCUGAAAUAAGACUCUGUCUACAAUUAAAAACAAAGAAAAAAAGGUACUUUAGGUCU
rnacentral:lncRNA from 1 species